AGAGUUUGAUCCUGGCUCAGGAUGAACGCUAGCGGCAGGCUUAACACAUGCAAGUCGAGGGGUAUAGGUUUUCGGACCUAGAGACCGGCGCACGGGUGCGUAACGCGUAUGCAAUCUACCUUUUACAGAGGGAUAGCCCAGAGAAAUUUGGAUUAAUACCUCAUAGUAUUAUGAAUGGCAUCAUUUAAUAAUUAAAGUCACAACGGUAAAAGAUGAGCAUGCGUCCCAUUAGCUUGUUGGUAAGGUAACGGCUUACCAAGGCAACGAUGGGUAGGGGUCCUGAGAGGGAGAUCCCCCACACUGGUACUGAGACACGGACCAGACUCCUACGGGAGGCAGCAGUGAGGAAUAUUGGUCAAUGGGCGCAAGCCUGAACCAGCCAUGCCGCGUGCAGGAUGACGGUCCUAUGGAUUGUAAACUGCUUUUGUACAGGAAGAAACAUCUCUACGUGUAGAGACUUGACGGUACUGUAAGAAUAAGGAUCGGCUAACUCCGUGCCAGCAGCCGCGGUA
rnacentral:rRNA from 1 species